UACGUAGGGGGCAAGCGUUGUCCGGAAUCAUUGGGCGUAAAGCGCGCGUAGGCGGCCCGGUAAGUCCGCUGUAAAAAGUCCAGGGCUCAACCCUGGAAAGCCGGUGGAUACUGUCGGGCUAGAGUCCGGAAGAGGCGAGUGGAAUUCCUGGUGUAGCGGUGGAAUGCGCAGAUAUCAGGAGGAACACCGAUGGCGAAGGCAGC
rnacentral:rRNA from 1 species